GAGUUUGAUCCUGGCUCAGGAUGAACGCUAGCGGCAGGCUUAAUACAUGCAAGUCGUGGGGCAGCAGGGGUAGCAAUACCCGCUGGCGACCGGCAAACGGGUGCGGAACACGUACGCAACCUUCCUUUAACUGGAGAAUAGCCCCUCGAAAGAGGGAUUAAUACUCCGUAACAUAUUGAUAAGGCAUCUUAUUAAUAUUAUAGCUCCGGCGGUUAAAGAUGGGCGUGCGCCUGAUUAGAUAGUUGGCGGGGUAACGGCCCACCAAGUCUGCGAUCAGUAACUGGUGUGAGAGCACGACCAGUCACACGGGCACUGAGACACGGGCCCGACUCCUACGGGAGGCAGCAGUAAGGAAUAUUGGUCAAUGGACGCAAGUCUGAACCAGCCAUGCCGCGUGGAGGAUUAAGGCCCUCUGGGUUGUAAACUCCUUUUAUCUGGGAAGAAAUGCAUUUUUUCUAAAGUGCUUGACGGUACCAGAGGAAUAAGCACCGGCUAACUCCGUGCCAGCAGCCGCGGUAAUACGGAGGGUGCAAGCGUUAUCCGGAUUCACUGGGUUUAAAGGGUGCGUAGGCGGGCAGGUAAGUCCGUGGUGAAAUCCCCGAGCUUAACUCGGGAACUGCCAUGGAUACUAUUUGUCUUGAAUAUUGUGGAGGUAAGCGGAAUAUGUCAUGUAGCGGUGAAAUGCUUAGAUAUGACAUAGAACACCAAUUGCGAAGGCAGCUUGCUACACAGUUAUUGACGCUGAGGCACGAAAGCGUGGGGAUCAAACAGGAUUAGAUACCCUGGUAGUCCACGCCCUAAACGAUGAUUACUCGACAUCAGCGAUACACUGUUGGUGUCUGAGCGAAAGCAUUAAGUAAUCCACCUGGGAAGUACGACCGCAAGG
rnacentral:rRNA from 1 species